ACUGGAACCCAAACCGAAACCGA
rnacentral:siRNA from 1 species